UAUGACAAAGAGUUCUCUAUAAAGGGAACAAGAAAGCUUUACAUGAAACCCUAAAACACUACUUGAUCUUAUCUGAGCAGCAAUUUUCUCUUCUUUAGGCAAAAAAUAGUCACCGGAACUGCUCUAUAAGUUUGCAGAGUUGCCGGAAAUUCUGCCCCAUAUUGGUUGGUAGUGUUUCCGUCAGCUCAUAUUGCAUCUUUUUGGGUUGACCGUUGCUUGUCUUAAAAGGGAUUAAGGGCUGCGAUGAAGACUGCCCACGGUCAGAGCUUCUUUUUAAGUUGCGUUGAUGGCUUCGUGGGCUUUCCCCAACCCAAAUCAAAUAUAAUUUUUUUUUUCAAUUUUUAGAACUUUUUCAAUUUCAAUUUAUUAGAAAUUUUCAAAAAUUUUUAAAUAUAUUUUUUGUAAAAAAGUUGAACUGGUUUUGAAGAUUGCACAAAUACUGAGGCUUUAUGUGUUUAAUUUGGUUGAUGUAUUGCCUAAUUUAUAAAUUGUGCAACAAUGAGUAAUGGGGAUCCGCUUUGCUGCCUAAACUCUAUAUAUGUUUUUGCUGCCUGUAAUGCCCCUACAUUCCCAUCUUCAAUACAGAAUUCAUUUGAUUUUUCUUUUGGGUUUAUAUAUAUAUAUAUAUUUGAACAUAUUUAGAAAUCUCAGAUACAUGUAUAAAAGUUUGUCUGUAUGUUGUGUUUGAUUUCUAUUGCAUUUUUGCAACAUGAUUAUGACUUAAGAUUUCAUAAGAAGCGAAAAUAUUUGUUUUUUGAGGGGCAUUAGGCAUUGUUUUUUUUUUUUUUUUUUAGAGUUGGCAGUGACAUUGCUUUGAUUUGGAUGUAACAAUCCCAUUGUUGAGUUGCAUUAUAAUCAUGUAUUCAAACUGGUUGUAGAUUUGUAAUGUGCAAUCAUUAUUGUAUAAAGUUUUAUCAUCCAUUGGUAAUGGGUUACAUGUAUGACCGAGGUUAUAACGGCUUAUUGAAAAAAAAAAAUUAUUGAAAAAAAAAAAUUGAUGUCGCAGUGUUACCAGUGCGCAUUACUAGUUAGCUGGUUCAAUUUUCUCCAAUAUGUCAUUGGCUGUGAUUUUUUAUGUUGAAAGUCUUGCUAAAACUACUGCAUUUAAAUGUUUUAAAUUGAUCUAACUGAGCAUGAACACUUCAUGAAUAUACACAUUUCAUGACCUAUAACUUCUUUCCCUCACAUGCAUAUGGAAUAGAUAGCUUGACCUAGGUUCAGUAAGUUCCUUGGCUUACUGAUGAGUAAUGACUACUUCGAGAAGCAGUUAUUUGAAAUAGUCUAAUGCCACAUUCACUACAUUGUGGGCUUGUAAUUCCCCUACAUUCCCAUGUUUAAUACAGAAUUGUUUAGAUUUUUUCCAAAAGUUUUAUGGUUACUUGGAAACUACUAGUUUGGUACUUCUGCAAUUUGUUAACAUUCCAUGCUCUCCUUGCACUUGUUAAUUUGGAAUGAUGAUAGGGAGCCAGCCACUGCAAUACACCAUAAGCAAAUGGUUGAUGUCUUUUGUGGGUUAGUUUCUCUUUGCACAAUUACAUCAUAACUGUUGUUGUGACCCAGAUGCUUGAGUGCCUGAUGUUGAGUCUCAGACAACUUGGUGUGAUGCCUGUAUUCUAUAAUGCCCAUUCAACACAAUCCAUGCUUCACAUUUGAGUAAUUUGCCAUAUGAGUACCAUUUGAUUUGAUUAUUUGACUGUGAUUGGAGUCCAGCCCAACUGGCACCUGUAAGUGAUAAAAAAAUUGGGCGAGCCCAACUGGCACCUGUAAGUGAUAAAAAAAUUGGGCGAGCCCAACUGGCACCUGCAGGUGAGUUGGUAAUUGUUAUAUUCCUUGAAGAAGCAAAUCAUAAUUAAUUAGCACUGAGCCAUUGACAUUUUCUAUUUUAUAAAAGAAUUAUGUAAUUUAAUUUUUAUUUUAAAAUGAGACAAUGUACCAGAUGCAAAAGUAUAGCAAGUACUUUUUACGUGGCUAAUUUGUUUUAAUUUUUUUGGGGGCAAUAUGAUUUUGAAUGAUGGCAUGUAAAUGUGGUAGCAAUGUGCAAUCCACCAAAAUCAUAUGCAAUUCAUUAUCUUCAAUUUUUACCCAACAAUUGCCCAUUAUCAGUUAUCUAAUUCAAUUUACUCGGAUAUGUCAUUUGGUUUCAAUCCUGCUUUGAAGUCUUGCUAAAACUACUGCAUUUAAAGUUUUUAAAUGUUUUAAAAUGAUUUAACUGAGCAUGCACACUUCAUGAAUAUACACAUUUCAUGAGCCAUUAGUUCCCUCCCUCACAUGCAUUUGGAACAUUUUGCUUGACCUAGGUUCAAUCAGUUCCUUGGCUUACUGAUGAGUAAUGACUACUUCGAGAAGAAGCUAUUUGAAAUAGUCUAAUGCCACAUUCACUACAUUGUGGGCUUGUAAUUCCCCU
rnacentral:lncRNA from 1 species